AAUAAAAAUAUAGUGAAUAUAAGGGCUAAUACAGUGCAUAAAUUAAGCGAAAGAGUUAAUUUCUCUGGCGAACAAGCUGUGGACACGAAAUGGCUUUUCUGAGGGGUUCUAUCUCAGUUGACUGGUCCCGCUGGAGACUGCAGAAAGCUGUUAAGACUGCUGUGGUGUCUCCUGCUACAACACCACUGGUUCAUAAAACUGUGGUUAGGAUCAACUGGGAGCAAGAUCAAGCUAACUGAGAGGAAGGAAUAAGAAGAUAUUGUUGAAUAUCAGAGGAAUAGAAUCUUAUCUGUGAACAAGCAUGAGAUUGGAUGAAUAAAUCUCAGGUUUAGGAUUAGGGAUCUGGGUGAGGACACUUUGGACCGGCAGUCAUUGUCAAUUGAAUGACAAAAAAAGAGAAACUGAAAAUCAAAUCCGGUUGAGGUGAAACUCAUUGGCUAAUUGUUUUUCUUUUCUAGUUUUGUAAAUAUAUAUAACAAAAAGUAGUGAUUCUUAUGCUUCAAGUUAAAAUUCAAUUUAGAUUUUUAAAAUAUUUUACUUGACAAAAAAAAAAAAAAGAUUUUUAAAUGUAUUAUCUAUUUUUGAGUGAAAUAUUGCAACAACAUUCUAGGUAAAACUACUUAAAUGCACCAGAAAUAGGCUUUUAAAAACAAUUGUGAAAGUAAAUAAAAUACAGUCCUCUUACAUUAUUCUAUGUGGGAAAUAAAAGGGCCUUCCUCUGCAUACCCUAUUUUCUCUGUGUCAGGACAACCUUGCUUCUGAGAAUUAUUAAUGGCUCCCUUGUAAGCUGUCAUCUUUUUUACUCCCCUCGUCUUGCAUUUUCCUCCGUUCUCUACAAAGCAGCACCACCACCAAACAGGCCACAGAUCAGCUCUAUCAAACUCUGUGUGAGAAACCAAACAGUCCCUUAGGGUGAAAUGAGCGACCUAACACGGUACCCAAAAAAGUGGAACCCCGUUUUAAGAACGGUAUAUUAUUUUGAUUGCGUGUGUGCAGUUGUUUUGCGAGGAAGCUGAGACGAAGGGGUGCGGGGACAAAUCGCAGCAUUGGGAGAGACAUGUGGCCUUCGUUUAAACUGAGUCAUAAAUCAGAGCACUGACAUAGAGAAGGAGAGAGCGAGAGAGAGAGAAAGAAAGAGAGAGAGAGAGGCAAAACUUAAAAUUGCCUCGGCUCAUUUUCGAUGUUUUCACGGUUUUCCUCAUUUUUGUUGCUUCACCUUCCUCUCCUCAUCCUGGUACUUUGUUUACACACCUUUUAAAAUGCAAUAUCUCAGAUGCAUUAGCCUUCCUCCCUCCUUUGCAGUCGCUCUUCUCUGGGUUAAAAGUUAAUAACUAUAAGCUCUUUUCCUCACGUACCUCCAUCACUCUCUCUCUCUCUCGUCUUCGUAGUCUCCCCCACCCUAAGUAAAGUACACAGCGCUUCCCUUGGGCUCACAACCAAAUGCCACGGCCACGUUAACCCCCAUCCGAAUUCACACCACUGCCCCUCGCUUUCAUUUGGCCCUGCAUACAUUACGCCCUCACAUGUCCUCUGAGAGUCUCUCUGAGGACGCCGAUCCGCCCAGCACCCCGCCAUCAACCACAGUUCACCGCCCGGAGAGGACGUAAGGUCAGUGUGAGGAAAAGCAAGGGCAAAGCGGCCUUGUGCAAGAACAACAGACAAAUAACAUCUCAACAUGUUUACUAUAAAUGAGAAAUUUGAAAUAGGUUCUAUAGUUAAAAAUGAAGAAUUGUGCACUGAUUAG